rnacentral:rRNA from 1 species
GACUACUCGGAUACCCGUAGUAACUCUGUGGCUAAUACGUGCGAAUUUCCCCAACUCAUCCGUCAAGGAGAUUAGGAGGGGCGUAUUUAUUAGUUAUAAACGCUAGCCUCGACACUCAGCCUUAAGUUAUAGCCUGAGUGUAGAGAUCGUGUUGAAUCAUAAUAACUGUCGAAUCGUAUGGCCGUUUAGCUACUAGUAUAGCUGAACAACGCUAACGAUGCUCCAAUCAAAUUUCUGCCCCAUCAUCUUGCACGUUGGUAGGGAAGUGGCCUACC